GGACAGAUGGCCGAGUGGUUAUGGCGUGUGACUCAAGCUUAAUGGCUUAGUUGAUUGAACCAACUAGCAUUCUCAUGGGCUUAGCCCGCGGGGGUUCGAAUCCCCCUCUGUUCA
rnacentral:tRNA from 1 species